AGAACGAACGCUGGCGGCGUGCUUAACACAUGCAAGUCGAACGCGAAAGUUUUCUUCGGAAAGCGAGUAGAGUGGCGCACGGGUGAGUAACGCGUAAGUAAUCUACCCUGGUAUCUGGGAUAACCCACCGAAAGGUGUGCUAAUACCGGAUACGCUGAUUUAUCAGGAAAGGUGGCCUCUUCAUGAAAGCUACUGUACCAGGAGGAGCUUGCGUACCAUUAGCUAGUUGGUAGGGUAAUGGCCUACCAAGGCGACGAUGGUUAGCGGGUCUGAGAGGAUGAUCCGCCACACUGGAACUGGAACACGGACCAGACUCCUACGGGAGGCAGCAGUGAGGAAUAUUGCGCAAUGGGGGAAACCCUGACGCAGCGACGCCGCGUGGAUGAUGAAGGCCUUCGGGUCGUAAAAUCCUGUCAGAUGGAAAGAAAUGUAUGGAGGUUAAUAUCCUUUAUAUUUGACGGUACCAUCAAAGGAAGCACCGGCUAACUCCGUGCCAGCAGCCGCGGUAAUACGGAGGGUGCAAGCGUUGUUCGGAAUUACUGGGCGUAAAGCGCGCGUAGGCGGCUUUUUAAGUCAGAUGUGAAAGUCCACGGCUCAACCGUGGAAGUGCAUUUGAAACUGGGAAGCAUGAGUACUGGAGGGGGUGGUGGAAUUCCCGGUGUAGAGGUGAAAUUCGUAGAUAUCGGGAGGAAUACCGGUGGCGAAGGCGACCACCUGGCCAGAUACUGACGCUGAGGUGCGAAAGCGUGGGGAGCAAACAGGAUUAGAUACCCUGGUAGUCCACGCCGUAAACGAUGUCAACUAGGUGUUGGGGAGGUUAAUCUUCUCAUUGCCGCAGCUAACGCAUUAAGUUGACCGCCUGGGGAGUACGGUCGCAAGAUUA
rnacentral:rRNA from 1 species